rnacentral:rRNA from 1 species
AUGCAGAGGAGCAGAGGUUGUGCCCCGGGCGGUGAGCACGCCUGGGCAGCGGCUGACGGCGGGAUACAGCUGCAGCGCCGGGAGAGGGAGCUGGUGGCGCAGCUGCACGAGCUGCUGUACCCGUCCACGUCCCCGUCUCGGAGCGGCGCGUCCUCGUGUUCUGGUCUUGCGGCUGACUUGUGUUGGGAGCACGGCAGCUCACAGGUGAAGGCAACGGCGGCGUCGUGCGCCGGAGGCAAACGGCGCGGGGGGCGCAAGAGAGUCCGGGAAGAUGAACGGCACGAGGAGGGGCAAGGACACCGCGGCGGUGCUGCGACUGCGACGAAGGCUACUACUCGUUGCAGGAGGAAGAAGCAAGGGGCGACGACGACGACGCUCGUCACGACGGUGCCGGAUUUCGACGGCUACCAGUGGAGGAAGUACGGCCAGAAGCAAAUCGAAGCGGCCAAGCACCCCAGGAAUUACUACCGGUGCACCAACAGCACGAACCAGGGCUGCCCGGCCAAACGAACGGUGCAGCGCAAUGACGAUGACGGCAGCGACGAUGGACGGCCGAAGUAUACGGUGGUGUACAUCUCGGAGCACAGCUGCAAGGCGACCGAGUCGGCGGCCGUGCCGGUGAUCCUCGAGACCACCGUCCGCACCGACACCGCAGCAGCUCCAGACGUCGCCGUCGUUCCCGGUAGCAGCUCUGGAGCUAUCAGUUCUGAGACUCAAUCGCCGGCAAGCUCCUCGGAUAUCACAUGGAGCAGCGGCGGCAGCGACGGCGGUGCCAAUGUGCCGCCGAGAGAGCGCGACGAUUACUCGCGUCUGUUCGCUAUCGAGGAUGACUGCUGGGGGUGGAACGCGUCGCCGCCGGCACCCGCUGCUGCUGCUGCGUUGCUCCAGGAGAUGGACUUCGACGGGCCUAUCAGGUCGCCGGUGCACGUCGCGGCAGCGGAUGGAAGUUGGAUUAACGACUUGUUCGUGAACGAACCACCAUUUGUUCUCAACAGCUGCCAUUUGUUUGGCCUCUAG